CCCGUUUAGAUUUGCUGCAGCCCCCAUCUGGCAUCUCCUCACUAUCGUAUCCAAUGGCGAAGGGCUCCGUCAGCCGCCCGCCUCCCGAAUCCUCCGCACGCGCCCUACGCCGCCGGCUUGCCGGGGUCCCGCGCACCGCGGCGCGCACUCCCUCCACGGCCACCAGCCAGCCAGGCGCGCACUCCCUCCUCGGCCACCAGCCAGCCAAGCGGGCAGGCAGCAGCCAGCACCGCACGCGCCGCCGGCUCGCCGCGCCGUGCCGCGCCCUAAUGUUCUGAUAUGUUUUUCUUUGCUUAUGCUGCUCCUUGUACAGGCUCCUUUUUUAGUACCAUGAGACUGCUCCAGCCACACUUGCAGAGUCAACACCAACCUCAGAUGAUACUAACACGUGUUGUGCAACAUGUAAAGUUUAUUCUCAGAUUCAUUCUUGUGAUAUGUUGUUGUUUGCCUUUGCUGGUAAAAGUUUUAUAAUUUCAGCAGAUAAAGUUGUAUCUAAAUUUAUUCUAAAUCUUUGUCAGUGCUAAGAAGAACUUAAGAAAACGUCCACUGUAUAGGGUGCUUCUUUGCAUGUGCAAAGAAAAGUUUCAAAAGACUUCAUCUAGAUAUUUUGGUCAUUAUGAAAGUGAAAGGAAAGCAACACCUUUUUUUUUGAAACGAGGAAAACAACAUCUUGACAUGUACAUAAAAUGGAGAUAUGUUCGGAUUUAUCCAUGUAUAUGCUGAUGGUCAUCAUGAAAAUGAAAGGAAACACCAAAUUUAGAUUGAUAACAGCAAUGCCAUUAUAAUUGUAGAUGAUGACCUUGCUAUGUUUGAGACUUAGGGGAUAAAUUAAUGGUUGGAGAACAAUUAUGCCUAAAUAUGAAAAAUUGAUGUGACUGAAUCUUUAGUUGGCUUAUGGCCUUAUUCAUCAGCCUGCCGUCAGUAAUGCUAUUGGAAGGAAUUGGGUUUAGGUAACCACGUACUUCAUAACUUAUAGGUUUUACUGCUGCUGCUGUUGUCUCGUAGUAUUUGAGAAAGCUGUGACAAGUAUUUCAACUAUUCUGAAAUGAGCUAUAUCUAUGUUGGUUAGCUAUCUCUAUCUCCAACUUCACAUAAGCACACAGAUAACCUGUCAAAGGAGGAUUUUCAAAUAUUUUUCGAAAGAAGAAAGUUUAGUAGGUUUUCGAAGACGUUGUCAACUCCUCAUAUUAUGAUUUUUUUGACAAUUAUUCCUAUUCAUGCUAAUGCUAGAAUUGGCUUGGCAAGUGACGAUUUGAAGAACACAAUAGAGAGAAGACAUUGGGUGGUGCUAGAGUCGCCCUUUCAUCCCUAAGCUAGAUGGUUGCUCUUGCAUACAACGCUGUAGCUUUGGUACAAGCUAAGUCUACAGAGAUAGCAAGGACCUCUGAUUGAUACUCAGGAAAAAACAUUGAUAGCGGGAGCAUAUCUAAAUUCAAUGAGUUUUAUAUGGAAAAUAAUUUGAAAAAAAAUUUGAACCAGUUAUUGCUGAGUUCUUCGUGUGAGCACAAUGGGCCUACUACAGUAACCUGCAUCGGUGUGUUCAUUUUAAAGUAUUAACUAGAGUGCUUAUGCUUUUAAAAGUUAUAUCUGUACGAUUUCCUAUGCAUCAAUUUGUGCCAUUUGUAUUUCAGAAACUUCAUGCUUACUAUAGGUUGCUGAGUGCUCAUUUCUAUAUUAGUUAAGAUCAUAAUAAGGGGCGCAAAGCGCGCUGAAUGUUCUAGUUAAAACCAAUGGCAAUGAAAGGAAUUUAUAUUUUUCAUUGCAUAGAACAGACAUGUAUAAAUUCUAAUAGCAUAUAGGGAAUUUUCUCUUUUGUAAGUGUUGGUAUUUAUUACGAUAAUUUGCGAAUGUACAAAUACCAUUGUACCUUUCACCUAGAAGUAUUCUAGGGUAUUGUAUUUCACUGAAAAAUAUGAGUAUAUUAUUUAAGGUUCAGAUU